AGGGUUCGAUUAUGGCUCAGGAUGAACGCUAGCGGCAGGCUUAACACAUGCAAGUCGAGGGGUAACAGGGAUUGCUUGCAAUCCGCUGACGACCGGCGCACGGGUGCGUAACGCGUAUGCAACCUACCUUCUACAGGGGAAUAGUCAAUAGAAAUGUUGAAUAAUACCCCAUACGAUCUUUGAAUAGCAUUAUUUAGAGAAGAAAGUUCCGGCGGUAGAAGAUGGGCAUGCGUCCUAUUAGUUAGUUGGAGAGGUAACGGCUCCCCAAGACAUCGAUAGGUAGGGGUCCUGAGAGGGAGACCCCCCACACUGGUACUGAGACACGGACCAGACUCCUACGGGAGGCAGCAGUGAGGAAUAUUGGACAAUGGAGGCAACUCUGAUCCAGCCAUGCCGCGUGCAGGAAGACUGCCCUAUGGGUUGUAAACUGCUUUUAUACAGGAAGAAAUGUACCUACGUGUAGGUAUUUGACGGUACUGUACGAAUAAGGAUCGGCUAACUCCGUGCCAGCCGCCGCGGUAAUUC
rnacentral:rRNA from 1 species